rnacentral:rRNA from 1 species
AAUGGGCGCAAGCCUGAUCUAGCCAUGCCGCGUGAGUGAUGAAGGCCUUAGGGUCGUAAAGCUCUUUCGCCAGGGAUGAUAAUGACAGUACCUGGUAAAGAAACCCCGGCUAACUCCGUGCCAGCAGCCGCGGUAAUACGGAGGGGGUUAGCGUUGUUCGGAAUUACUGGGCGUAAAGCGUACGUAGGCGGAUUAGAAAGUUGGGGGUGAAAUCCCGGGGCUCAACCCCGGAACUGCCUCCAAAACUACUAGUCUAGAGUUCGAGAGAGGUGAGUGGAACUCCGAGUGUAGAGGUGAAAUUCGUAGAUAUUCGGAAGAACACCAGUGGCGAAGGCGGCUCACUGGCUCGAUACUGACGCUGAGGUACGAAAGUGUGGGGAGCAAACAGGAUU